rnacentral:rRNA from 1 species
UACAGGGGGUGCAAACGUUGCUCGGAAUUAUUGGGCGUAAAGCGCGCGUAGGCGGCUACUUAAGUCGGAUGUGAAAGCCCCUGGCUCAACUGGGGAAGUGCACCCGAAACUGAGUAGCUUGAGUGCAAAAGAGGGCCGCGGAAUUCCCGGUGUAGAGGUGAAAUUCGUAGAUAUCGGGAGGAACACCGGUGGCGAAGGCGGCGGCCUGGGUUGACACUGACGCUGAGGCGCGAAAGCUAGGGGAGCGAACGGG